CUCUGCUGUUCUAUUUUAUCUUGCCGGAAUUGCGCGGUCUAUGUAUAAAUCAUCGCUGAUAUUGUUCUGAUAUUGGAAGCUCUUGAGAAUAUCAACUAUAUCUAUGACAUCAACACGCCAAGCACUCAAUCUAAAACGAAAAAAUAGAAACUUCUCGACGUUUCGGUCAAAGCCAAAGGCCCUUCCGUCAGAAGACUUACAUUAACAAUACAAACAAAACACACUUCUUUUACAUAAAAACUAUAAAGGUAGUUAUACGUGACGAAAAUAUACCAAUGGUUCGUUCAACGAAGUGUUGAAAAUUGUCUGACAAAAUAUCUUUUGGUUUGCACAUUUCCAGACUAUAAACACGCGUAAAAAUGCACGAGUUGUUACAGGUCUGCGAACAAGUUGUUACAAGUCUGUUCACAAGUCUAUUUGUCUUCCAAAAUUCUAUAUUCUAUUUUCUAAACGUUACCUAGGGUAUCUCGUAAAUAAUAAACCUUUGUGAAAUAUCUUUGCGCAAUGGUCACUGGCAAGUACAUCACAUCGAUAUAAAUCAUUCCAUCAAUAUAUACAUCAAUAUAGUUAUUUUAAUUAUAUACAUUUAUCACGGAUAAGCCCACAUAUAGCUAGUUGCGAUAAAUAUUAGAAUAUAUGAACAAAACAAACUUUGCGAACUCGUUACUUGUUAGAGGAUAUAUAUGCCGGAAUAUAUAGAGGGUGUAUUAUACAGACACAAAAUGUAUAUAAUUAAAAUAACUAUAUAUUGAUGUAUGUAUAUAUUGUCUGAUGGAAUGAUUUAUAUCGAUGUGAUGUAUUUGUGACCAUUGCGCAAAGAUAUUUAACAAAGGUUUAUUAUUUACGAGAUACCCUAGAUAACGUUUAGAAAACAGAAUAUAGAAUUUUGGAAGACAAAUAGCUAGAUAGGUCAAGGAAAAGUGAUGGAACGUGAAGAUUUUUGCCUAUACAAAUUAAAUCAAAGCACGAUAUUCUGAGGGUUGUUUCUCUCCGAAAAAAUAAUGGAUUUUUUCGGCAAAAUUUUGGCUAAAAUUUUGAGUCCAAUUUUGGGUCCAAUUUUGGGUCCAAUUUUGAGUCCAAUUUUGGGCCAAUUUUGGGUCCAGUCCAUGGGUCCAGUCCAUGUUUUUGUACUAUGCCCGUGUAGGUCAUACACGUUUGUUAUCAUCUUGUAACAAGGUUGAUGAGGCCAACAGACUCGCAACAAGUUGUUCCAACAACUCUGAUAUCGUCUGCACGUAACAAGUUGCUGACAAGUUGAUGACAACAAGCUUGUAGCAACUUGUUACGAACAGCCUGUGUUAGUCUUGUUGGAACAACUUGUAGCAACUCUGUUACCGUCAAUAACAACUUGCUGCAGAUUUCUCACAACAACUGCAUCAUGGGACCAAGCAGUAUACGAGCACAUCCUGAUAUCGGCUUGACAAUAACCUUGCAUGUUACAACUUGUUUGCAGACCUAUAAUAAUAAUAAAAUUAUUUAAUAUCAGUUAACCCUGUAGCAACUUGCGCGUUUUUUACGUGUACGAUGACGAAUAUCCGCCAUUUUUGGGUAGCAUCUAAUUCUCGUUAACCAAUGCAGACAAUUAAAACAAUGUGAAAAGCAAUUUUUCAAAAUAAACUAAUCAUUUGCAAAGCAAAUGUACCAUCAUUCAGGCCUUAAAAUAUCUUUUACAGGGCCGUCUGACAAAAUGUCCGGUGACGUUGAAUUUGGGUCGGACAUAUGUCCGAUGACCUUCAGUUCAGUUUUGACUCGGAAAUAAGUCUGAAUGACACAAAUGAAUAAACGGUAAAUGUUGUAAAGAUAUUAAAUAAUUUGUUCCUUUCAUACUUAUUUCCAAGCCAAAAUUAACUUGCUUUCCAGAACAGCAGUAUUAAAAAAGACUUUGACAACAUAAGCCCGUUUUCCACUUCACCAUUUCGCUCGCCGCCCCGCGCUCGACUACGUUAAAACAACAUUUCCAGUUGACCUUUUAUACAAUAGUACUCUGACUUUCCAUUUAACAUACAAGCCUCUAGAACUGGGCUAGGGUACAUAUUGAUUUACGUCGGACAAAGCUACAGUUCGGUCGGACACCAAUACACUCGGGUCGGACAAACAAUAAACCUCAGUUUCACUUUGGUCGGACAGAAUGUCCGGUGGUUUCCUUUCUACGUCGGACAAUUUCACGAAUGGGUCGGACAAUGUCCGUGACCGACCGAUAUUUUAAGGCCUGCCAUCAUUCGUCAAAAAAUGAUAAAAACUCGCUGUUAUGUGGACUUAUCUCACAGACUUCGGCUGAAAUGCCACCCAAAAAUGGCGGCGUGAGAAAGGUUAAAUGACACACAAUGCAAUAAUAACUAUAUCUACAAUAACCCUACGAGUUCUACAGCAUUAUUUUCUAUCAGCUCUUGGCUAACCCAUAUUUCUCGAGCACACACAAGCGAACUAACUCUUUAAAAGUCUUCCUAACUACAUUAUAAAGUACAACAUGUUUUGAACCGGGUACAAUGUCCGAUUCAACUUCACAUAACAGCUGUUCGCUUUUAACAAGAAUGUCUUGCUCUUCAAACCCGUGGUCUUCCAAAAUUUCACGUCCAGUUUUAGCUUUUUUGUGUACGUCUUGUAGCAUGUUAUAAUACUGUGAUAAUUCUA
rnacentral:lncRNA from 1 species